rnacentral:lncRNA from 1 species
CUUGUAACAACUUGUGCGUUUUUACGUGUGUACAGUACAUGAAUGAUUUGCCUUUACAUCUGAACGACACCGAAAUUGAUCUGUAUGCUGAUGACACGACACAAUAUGUGGAUAUAACUUACAGGAUGUGGAACAUAAACUGAAUAGUGAUUUGCAACCAGUGGUGAAGUGGUCAAAAAAACAACAGGAUGGUAGUAAACACGGAGAAAGUAA